GACGAACGCUGGCGGCGUGCUUAACACAUGCAAGUCGAACGAAGUGGCGAACGGGUGAGUAAUACGUGGGUAACCUGCCCUCCUUUUUGGGAUAAGCCUUGGAAACGGGGUCUAAUACCGAAUAAAGGGGGAUGGGCACGCGGCCUAUCAGCUUGUUGGUGGGGUGAGGGCCUACCAAGGCGGUGACGGGUAGCCGGCCUGAGAGGGGGACCUGCCACAGUUGGGCUGCGGUGCUGCCCGGACUCCAACGGUAGGCAGCCGUGGGGGAUAUGGCGCAAUGGACGAAAGCCUGAUGCAGCGACGCCGCGUGGGGGUUGAAGGUUUGCGGGUUGUAAGCCUCUUGCGCGAUCGUACGGGUAGGUGGUGGAGAAGCGCCGGCUAAGUACGUGCCAGCAGCCGCGGUAAUUC
rnacentral:rRNA from 1 species